rnacentral:rRNA from 1 species
AUUACCGAGUUUUCGGGCUUCGGCUCGACUCUCCCACCCUUUGUGAACGUACCUCUGUUGCUUUGGCGGCUCCGGCCGCCAAAGGACCUCCAAACUCCAGUCAGUAAACGCAGACGUCUGAUAAACAAGUUAAUAAACUAAAACUUUCAACAACGGAUCUCUUGGUUCUGGCAUCGAUGAAGAACGCAGCGAAAUGCGAUAAGUAAUGUGAAUUGCAGAAUUCAGUGAAUCAUCGAAUCUUUGAACGCACAUUGCGCCCCUUGGUAUUCCGGGGGGCAUGCCUGUUCGAGCGUCAUUACAACCCUCAAGCUCUGCUUGGAAUUGGGCACCGUCCUCACUGCGGACGCGCCUCAAAGACCUCGGCGGUGGCUGUUCAGCCCUCAAGCGUAGUAGAAUACACCUCGCUUUGGAGUGGUUGGCGUCGCCCGCCGGACGAACCUUCUGAACUUUUCUCAAGGUUGACCUCGGAUCAGGUAGGGAUACCCGCUGAACUUAA